AUGCUAGUUGUUUUUAGUCCUGUUACGAUCUGUCCAAUUUCUGUAAAUACACACAUCCUUCUGACCUUUCAAAAUACUCCCAGAGGUGUGGUGCCAACACUUCCUAUGAGGCAUCCUCUAAAACAAUUUUACUCCUAUUCACAGGCACUGAUGCUUUGCGCUGGGAAAAACUGUGCAGAGUUUUCUCCACCAAGUGCUAGGAAUUCCAAACUAUGCAUCAAUUCCACAGACUAUGUGCCAGGGAUGAACCCCAGAGCCUUGUGCCUGCUACACCACUGCUCGACCACAAAGCCACAUCCUAAUAUAGAAGUCAGAAGAAAGAAAAUUAUGGGGUUAAUGUGAAGGCAUAAAAUUAAAAAUCUUUUAAAUCACCAAGAAAACAUAAAAAUCUCAAAUGUGCAUGCAACAAUGAUGCAGUUCAAAUUUCAUGCCUACCUUAAAAAUAUAGGUGGAAUACUUCCCAAUUUAUUUCAUGCAAUCAGCGUUAAACAUCUAUCAAUACUAAACAGUUUACAAAAAAAUGAUGCAGACCAAUAUAUUUUAUUAGUAUGGAAAUGAAAAAUCUUCAACAAAAUCUUCCCAAAUUGAAUUAAAAUAUAUAAAAUACUAAUAUUGCGUAACCAAGAUGGAUUCAUCUCAGAAUGGAAGUCUUGUUCAAUGUUCAAAAAUGAAUCAAUGUAAUUCAUCAUAUUAAGUGUCUACUAGCCUGAACACCUGAGAAUAGAAACUUAAAAGAAGAAAGAUUCAUUUUGAUUCAUGUCACAGGUUUCUGUCCAUGGUCACUGUACUCUGUUGUUUCUGGGCUAUAGGGAGGAAGAAUGUCAUUUUGGGUAUCCUUGGCAGUAGCAGAACUGCUCACCUCAUAGUGGCCAGCAAGCGAAGGCAGAGAAAGAGGGGAAGAGGCCAGAGCAAAAUUUACUCUUCAAUACUAGAUCCACAGUGACUUUCAUUGUCCAAUGAGGCUCCACCUCCUUAAUUUCCAAAACUUUCCAAAAGUCCAUUGAACUGCGAAUUCAUCAGUGAAUUAAUCCAGACCUCUAAUGAUCCAAUCACCUCCCCAAGCCUCCAUGGCCUCUGAACACUGUUCACUGGGAACCAAGCCUACAAUACGUGAGUUUUUCGGGGACACUUCAUAACCAGACCAUAAAGGGUGCAAGAAGAGAAGACGUAUGAUAAUACCAAUUGAUGAAGAAAAGUGGAUAAAGUAAAUAAACCACCCGUGACAAAAAUUCUCA
rnacentral:lncRNA from 1 species